CAGCACGCCGUAACCUCAACAAUGCUGCACACUGCGUUCCCUGAUCUAGAAUGCCCUCACUGUUCCCCUGAUGAAUUCCUCCGUCAGCCUCCCACCUCGCCUCUGCUCUGCCAGGCUGCCCCGCACCCCGACUCGGGCCCAGGCGGCAGUUACGGCUCCUCCCCCAGCUCCCAGAACACUGUGCCCACCAGGCCUCGGUCUAUUAUUCUAGAAAGCCAUUGGCUGUCGUCUCCUCACCAUGGAGGGAGCUCCUAGAGAGCAGAGAUCGUGCUGUGCUGUUGGUGGCAGCCCCGUGGCAGGCAGAUGGAUGAAACUGAAGGACAGAGAGGUUAAGUAACUUGCCCAAGGUCACGCAGCCAGUAAGUAGCCAAGCCAGAAUUCAGCCCUACUUGUGGAUAUGUCUUUCUCCCAGGAAACUGGGGUCCCAGAGGAUGAGGACUUCAUGCUGUGUCCCCAGCACCUAGAACAGUGCCUGCCUAUAGAAAAAGCUCAGUAAAUGCCUGUUGGGAAAAAAAGAAUGAAUGAAUGCCUCCUCCUCCAGGAAUGCUUUGUGCCCAUGCUGCCCAGGCUUGGACGGAGGUCUCCUCUGCUCUCCUCCGUCCUCCCACCUAGGACUCUUUACGGGACUGUUUAUUUGGCCAUCUUCCCACACACUGGGAGCCCUCUGAGGGCAAGGACAGGGUCAGCUGCAUCUGUGGAUUCUAGCACUUAGCCCCAAGCCUAGCAGGCAGCUGGGCUUGAAGAAAUGUUGGAAUGAAUAUAUGAGUGUCCUCCUGCACCCAUUCUUUCCUCCUGCCUGGCUUUGCUUCCUUCUUUCUCCACCCUGACAGUUGCCAAGAAGCCAGCACCGAGGUGAGCUGAUGAGAAAGGCCACCCCAGCAGGAAUUUCCUGAAGUAGGGGCAACCCCUUUUUACCCACCUGGAACCACUCCAGGCAGCUCGGGGACCAAGCCCAAGGCAAGUGCAGCCAGUCACAGGAAUUGUCAGGGGCCUGGCCUGGCAAAGCCAUGGGGAUGGACGUUUUCCCAGUCUCACCCUGGCUGGCUGGAGCGAGGUCAGCAGGCCUAGGCUCUGCCUGGCCAGGGGCCAGUCGGGAAACACUCUAUGAUUCAAGUCAUGUAGCCAUACAAAAGGAAAGGACCCACCUCCUCCAAGAAGGGCAAGUGGGCCAGGCAGACCAACCCAGACCUUUGGGUGUCGAAGGAGGAAAUUUCAGAGCAAAGUUCUCACACGAGCCAGCGCCGAGAUUCCCCACCAUAGGAAGGCUCUGGAAGCCUGAGAUAGGAGCCCAGGAGGGUUAGCUCCGAGGCCGGAGCCCUGGACUGAGGCCGGGGCAAUCGCCCCUGUGGUUUCUGAGUUAUCAGUGGCCUCAGCUGGACUCCUACGGCUCCAGCCUCCCCCGACCCAGAGCAUGGAGACGCUAGGGCUGCCCUGCUGUGUCUCCCCCAAUGCCCCCUUCCCUUCCCUUCCCUCAGGAACUGCACAGGCCGAUGAACUCUGCACUCCUCAGCUCAGGAACCUGGGCUCAGGAGACAUACUCAUUAACUCCCCUUGAGCGUCAGGACCAACUCCCGCCAUUUGCCCAUCUCCCACCUAGCACCCCUCCUCACGUCUGGCUCCAGAAGAACAAAGUUCAAGAAAAGUUUAUGCAUCUGGUUUGCAGAGAUUUAUCCAGUAUUUAAGUGAUAAAGGGCCUAGACUCUGGAGCUAAGCUGCCUGGGUUCAUAUUCUGACUUAACACUGACGAGAUGUGUGACCUUGGGUGAGUCCCUUGCCCUUCUCAGACCUUCUGUUCAUCACUUGUAAAAAACAGGGAUUCAAGUUCUGACCCCGAAAGGAGGCUAAGAGGGCCAAACGAGCAAGGGAAUGAGGAACACUUGCUAAGCAGGCCCAACAGCGCAAUAGUCAGUAAACGACAACUAUUACCAUGAUUCUUAAAUUAAGGUUGUUGUGGGUAAAUCAGGAAUAAUAGGGAGCAAAUAUGUAUUCUGCUCCACAGCUGUGUGACCUAGGGGUCAUUUACUUAACCUCUCUCUGGGCCCCCGUGGUAAGGAUCAAUGAAUAA